rnacentral:rRNA from 1 species
AUGAACGCUGGCGGCGUGCCUAAUACAUGCAAGUCGAGCGAACAGACGAGGAGCUUGCUCCUCUGACGUUAGCGGCGGACGGGUGAGUAACACGUGGAUAACCUACCUAUAAGACUGGGAUAACUUCGGGAAACCGGAGCUAAUACCGGAUAAUAUAUUGAACCGCAUGGUUCAAUAGUGAAAGACGGUUUUGCUGUCACUUAUAGAUGGAUCCGCGCCGCAUUAGCUAGUUGGUAAGGUAACGGCUUACCAAGGCAACGAUGCGUAGCCGACCUGAGAGGGUGAUCGGCCACACUGCAACUGAGACACGGUCCAGACUCCUACGGGAGGCAGCAGUAGGGAAUCUUCCGCAAUGGGCGAAAGCCUGACGGAGCAACGCCGCGUGAGUGAUGAAGGUCUUCGGAUCGUAAAACUCUGUUAUUAGGGAAGAACAAAUGUGUAAGUAACUAUGCACGUCUUGACGGUACCUAAUCAGAAAGCCACGGCUAACUACGUG